rnacentral:rRNA from 1 species
GAUGAACGCUGGCGGCGUGCCUAAUACAUGCAAGUCGAGCGAACGGACGAGAAGCUUGCUUCUCUGAUGUUAGCGGCGGCCGGGUGAGUAACACGUGGAUAACCUACCUAUAAGACUGGGAUAACUUCGGGAAACCGGAGCUAAUACCGGAUAAUAUUUUGAACCGCAUGGUUCAAAAGUGAAAGACGGUCUUGCUGUCACUUAUAGAUGGAUUCGCGCUGCAUUAGCUAGUUGGUAAGGUAACGGCUUACCAAGGCAACGAUGCAUAGCCGACCUGAGAGGGUGAUCGGCGACACUGGAGCUGAGGCACGGUCCAGACUCCUACGGGAGGAGGCAGUAGGGAAUCUUCCGCAAUGGGCGAAGGCCGGACGGAGCAACGCCGCGGGAGUGAUGAAGGUCUUCGGAUCGUAAAACUCUGUUUUUAGGGAAGAACAAAUGUGGAAGUAAUUGUGCAUAUCUUGACGGUACCUAAUCAGAAAGCCACGGCUAACUACGUG